rnacentral:misc_RNA from 1 species
AAGUCGUAACAAGGUUUCCGUAGGUGAACCUGCGGAAGGAUCAUUAGGGAUUUGGUCUCCGGACCUUUUUCAUAUCCAUAAUACCCCUGUGAACCUGUCGGUCCUCGGGCCAGCGUUUCCAAACCAUGUGUAAUGAACGUGAAUGUGUAUGAAACCCUAGUAAAACUUUCAACAACGGAUCUCUUGGCUCUC